CCGCUUUCCCGCGCCGCACUUGAUGAAGAAGACGCGGCCGUCCCGGCACACGCCGUAGGACCAGUGCUCAGGUACAGAGGAAAGAUGUGAGGACUCAUGGAGAAGACAGCCGUCUGCAAGCAAGGAAGAGAGGCCUCCCCAGAAACUAACCCUGCUCGUACCUGGAUCCUGGACUUACAGCCUCCAGACUGUGAGGGAAUACAUUUCUGUUGUUUAAGCACCAAGCCUGCGCUACUUCGUUAUGGCAGCCGGAGCCAACUAAGACAACAAGUGAAGUGCUUCACCCAGGGUCAAGGUCACCCAAUGAGGAAAUAGUGGAGCCUAGAUUUGUACGGAGAGCUGUCUGGGCCAUCUCCCCAUGAAGUGAUGUGUGAGUCAGCCCAAUCCUCUGUCUCUGUGUGAGGCAGCCAGCAAGAGCUUCCGUCCAGCACCCCCGUGUCCUUGGAAGGGGUUUGAGAUCCCCACUUCCGGUGAAAGAAACAUCAGACCAACUGCAGGCUGCACGUCCCCAGCGAGCACUUUCUGAUUCUCUCCGUGUCAGGCUCCGUGCUGGGCACCGAGGACUCGAGGCAACCAGGAAGGUCCUGCCGUCCUGCCCAGGCAGGGCUCACAGCCUGUCUGAUAGGGCAGACAGACACAUCCACGGACGCCUGUUCAGAGUGAGGUGAGGUGAGAACUGGGAGGGUGGUGCGUGGAGAAAGGCCGGGAAGCCGCUGCCCUGUCCCUGGAACGGCCAUGAAGCUGUAGAAACUCAGCCUCCCCGUCCUUAGUAAAUGUUCCUGUUAUUUUUGCUGUGAAACAAGUUAUCCCAAUAUCUAAUGCCUUAAGACAAUAACUGUAUUGUUCUCAAGGUUCCUGUAGGUCAAGAAUUCAGAUAGGGCAUGGCAGGAAUGGCUUGUCUCUGCUCCAGAAUGUCUGGGGCCUCAGCUGAGCAGAUUCAGUGGCUGGGGGGCCUCACGGGCUGAGGGCAGGAAUCACGUGGAGAUAACCUCACCCACGUGCUGGGGGCUACUACUGGCUGCCUCCUGGGCCUCCAGUGUGGUUGUUUUCUGGACCACCUGUGCAUGGCUUCUGCAAGUGGCCUCGGCUCUCUCGUGGGUUGGAGGCCUCAGGGUUGGCCUUCCUACCCCAAGCAUGAGUGUCCCAGGUAACCAGGCCUUUUCUGCCCUAGCUUCUAAGUCCUAAAGUGUUACUUCUCUGAAUUCUGUUAAUUAUAAGCAAGUCAUGGGCCUGGCAGAUUGACAGGGAGGGCAGUGAGACCCCACCUCUUGAGGGGACAAUGAAUAGUUUGACACAGACAGUCUCCACACCUAGGGUGGAUCCAGGCACCCCAUGUCCUGCCCAGCAUGGGACAGCAGGCCUGAGGGGAGCCCAGCUCGAGGUGGGUAAGGAGAAGAGAGGGAAGAAGCUGGGCACGUCUCUCUGUGGGCAGUUUCAUUUGACCAUGGGUUCAAUUUCUACUUCUCCUGGAAACCUUUACGUCUGCAGCGCAGAGCUUUCUUCUGAGCUUCAGGCUAGUCUGUCCAGCGGCCCGCCUGCUCUCCCUUUCUGCGCCUCAGUGUCUUUUGAAAAAUGAAGAUGUUGAUGCCUUGUGAGGAUUAAACAACAUGAUACUUACAA